GGCUGAACAAAAAUAUGAGAUAAUGUAAAAAAUCUCAGAUAAGUAGUCCAUGACACAAUCAUAAUUUUAUUACCAAAGUAGUUAGUUAUGUCGUAUACCCUGUAUCUACACCAGUCGUGAAGAUCUCAAACAUGCAGUUUGUCAUUCGUUGGUCACAUGGAGAAACUACUCAAGAAAUGAUUAAAUACCAGAACACUUUGUUACCAAGCGAUUGGAAGAACAUCUCCAAGCACUUCGUUACCACUAGGACACUGGUGCAAAUCUCUAGCCAUGCCCAAAAGUAUUUCCGUAGGAUGGAGAACACUGCUAGGAGGCAGCAUAACAGCAUCGAUAACGUUGGCCUCUGCGAUGAUGAGCCCAGGGUGCAAACUAAUGUUUCGAUCCUAAAGGGGUUCACCUUCACCAGUGGAACCUACAACCCAGUCGACUAUGGCUCCAACAUCCAAUUUGUCGUCAUGAGUAACCUGGCCAAGCAGAUAUGGUUUCCAUCCUUAUGUUGUACUAACCAGGCAAAGCAACAACAGUAACUAAGCCACUACCUUAGACAAUUAUAUGUAUGUGGUCCUGUUAUAGUGUGUUGCCUUUGCUUGUGUUCUUUGCUUCGUCUAUGUCUCUAUGAAGAUUAAAAAUAAAGAUAUAUUUCAGUAUUUAAGGACUCAUUUGGACCAAUCAUUCCCUAUGGGAUCGGAGGGAAUUAAAGAUAAAAUGAACGUAUUGUAAAGCAGGUUAGUGUACUUCGCCAUCAGACAUGAAGAAAAAGGUUAACAAAAUGUAGUAGGCACAUUAUUCAUGUGUAAAAACUUGAUUAUAAGUACUAUAUAUACACACAUGCAUGCAGUCAGCAUAAUAAUUGCAUAACCGAGCACGGCAAGGAGAUUUUCAAUUGCCACAUAUUGACUAGUGUCGUCUAUAUACGAUGAGCCAAUUAAGCUUAGAAAAAAAAACUUUUUGCGAAUCUACCGUAUGUUACCUUCGACCCCAGCAAAUUUAAAAUAUGACCCCGGCAGCGGCAGCCCAGCCCACGAGAGAAGAUGUCGAUUUCUCAUCCUUUGUACAGGCCGGCAAGCCGCAAACCCAGUACGUGGACUGGACGCAUGCCCUGUUAUGAGAUCUCAGAGUUUUCUUUUGAUACUUUUUCAUGUGGUUAGCGUGUAUAUAUUCUGAAUGGUAGUGUAUCAUCUACUUUUCAUUGGCUGAUUCUAGUAAGGGCAUGUUCGGUUGCAUCUAGGUGGAACUAAUCCAGGGAGGGAGAGUAUCUCCUUUCCAUUGCAGAGUAAAUGCAUGGGGGAAUGCAGUCCAGGAUUGACAUGUAGAUUUUGAACAGGAUUGGUUCAACUACUCUAGAGGUCUGGAUUGAAUCCAGACGGCCAUCAUGCAUGGAUGCAGACAGCGUGGGUGACGAUUGUGACACUGCUGGCAUAAUGACAAAGUGGGCAGCCUGCUACUGGCCAGCCUAGACCUGUGGGACGCAGCGAGGCCCAGAAUUGAAUCCAGGCGGAUCCAGGUGGUUUGGUCGCACAACCGAACGAGGCCUAAGUUGUCGGGACAUUCGAGAAGAUAUGGGAAGCAGCAAAUGUACUAUUCGUCAUUCUUCGCGGGUUUUAGGAUCAGAGGUUAAUUUUUAGAACUAUCCAAAAGCCUGCGCGUGUAGAAAAUCCAAUUUUCGGCCACACACUCCUAUUUGAGAAAGAAAUUAUUUUUGUUGCAAAAAAAGGAAAAAAACACACCAGAUCUCUUAUUCCCCGACUAUGGUUCCCUUGCCCCUGCCACCGGCCACCGCCAUGUCGCGGGCGCUAGGGUUCGCCAGAGCUACGGCGAACUCUAGCGCUCGCGGCAACCGCCAGGGUUCGCCAGAGCUACGGCGAACUCUAGCGCUCGCGGCGGCCGCCCUCUUUCCCUCCCUUCCCCCACCACCGCCACGCCCCGACCUAGCCCGACUGCUCCUACCAUCGCCAGCUCCCCUAGUUGCCCAUUGACAAUCUUCACCGUCUGGCCUACCUGUCUCCCUUGUUCGACCAUUCUAUAGUCCACCGGAGAAAGGAGAGCUCACCGGAACCCUAGAGGAGAGAGAGAGAGAGAGAGAGAGAGAGAGAGAGAGAGGAGGAUGACGGGACCUACCUGGCGCCGCCGCCACAAGAUUCGAUGGAUUCACCGCCACCGCCAGAUUCGGCGGAUUAGCCAUCGCCAGAUUCAGCGGAUUAGCCGCCGCUGCCGUCACCAGAUUCGGCGGAUUCACCGCUGCUGCUGUCAGAUUCGACGGAUUCGUCGUCGCCGCCGCCACGGGCCACGGCUAGAUUCGGUGGAUCUGCCUCCACCGCCACCGCUAAAUCUACCAUGGCCGCACACAGGGGAGCCGGUGGGGCGUGGGCGUGGGGAGUACGCCACCGGUAGCUGUCACCAAAGAGAGAGAUUGUGUGGCCGUUUGCAGAAGAAGUGUUGUGUGUUGUGGGGAAAGGAUAAGGUGCGUCGGGGGUGUGCAGGCGUUUGGAGCUGCGGACGCACACCCGAAAAGUAUCAUUUUCAAAAAUUUUAACAAGCUUGCACAUGAUCAUACCGUUGACCGAUGGCGUG
rnacentral:lncRNA from 1 species